rnacentral:pre_miRNA from 1 species
UAGUAAAAAAAUUAUCAAUUUUUAUUGUUAAAAACUGGUGUUACUAACCGACUAACUAGAUAAUUACAUGUGACUUGUCAUGUGUACCUCAAUUUGACGUAUAUGAAGUAACUUUUAACCGUAUAAAUAGAUGAAAAUUUUAACA